AUGGGGGAGAGGGUGCUGAUAUUUUGCCAUAACGUGUCACCGAUAAGCUUUCUCAUCGAGUUGAUUGAGAAUGUGUUUGGAUGGCGCCUCGGGGAGGAAGUCCUGGUGAUCCAAGGUAAACAAGAUCUGCAUGUCCGCUCUGACAUCAUGGACAAGUUCAACACUGACAGUAGAGGAAAGAUGAAGGUGCUUAUCGCUUCGACAACGGCCUGCGCCGAGGGUAUCAGCUUGACAGGUGCAUCAAGACUGGUCCUGCUGGAUUCAGAGUGGAACCACUCCAAGACCAGGCAGGCGAUAGCAGGGGCAUUCAGGCGUGGCCAGGAGAGGACCGUGUAUGUCUAUGUUCUGGUGGCAUUUGGUACAUGGGAGGAGGAGAAGUACAAUAUCAACAUGCGGAAAGCUUCGAUGGCGAAGAUGGUCUUCCACGGGCGCUAUUUCGAUUAUCCAUUACAGAACGUGGUGACUACUAUUGAUGAUAGUCUUCUCAAGGAGCUUGCCGAUGAAGAUAAGACCAAAACCUUCCAUAUGAUAGCUAAGCAGGACUGA
rnacentral:rRNA from 1 species